GAUGAACGCUGGCGGCGUGCCUAAUACAUGCAAGUCGAGCGAAAAGACAAUGAGAUUGCGCCUCUGACGUUAGCGGGGGACGGGCGAGUAACACGUGGAUAACCUACCAAUAAGACUGGGAGAACAUCGGGAAAACGGAGAUAAUAACAGAGAAUAUAUUGAACGGCAUGGUUCAAUAGUGAAAGGCGGUUUUGCUGUCACUUAUAGAUGGAUCCGCGCCGCAUUAGCUAGUUGGUAAGGUAACGGCCUACCAAGGCAACGAUGCGUAGCCGACCUGAGAGGAUGAUCAGCCACACUGGAACUGAGACACGGUCCAGACUCCUACGGGAGGCAGCAGUAGGGAAUCUUCCACAAUGGGCGAAAGCCUGACGGAGCAACGCCGCGUGAGUGAUGAAGGUCUUCGGAUCGUAAAGCCCUGUUAUUAGGAAAGAACAAAUGUGUAAUUAACUAUGCACGUCUUGACGGUACCCAAUCAGAAAGCCACGGCUAACUACGUG
rnacentral:rRNA from 1 species